GUCAAAAAAAGGAAACAGGGGACAAAUAGAAAAAAAUUAGGUGGGAAUUUUAAACUCAUUUACUAGUGAUUAAAUUAAUAUUUAGUAAAGCAACUACUCCAGGGCUUUCCAGGUGGCUCAGUUGUAAAGAAUUUGCCUGGCAGUGUGGGAGACUCAGGAGAUGUGAACUUGAUCCCUGGGUCUGUGAGAUCUCCUGGAGGAGGAAAUGGCAACCCACUCCAGUAUUCUUGACUUGGAAACCCCAUGGACGGAGGAGCCUGGUGGGCUACAGUCCAUGGGGUCACAAAGAAUAGGACAUGACUGAGCUACUGAGCACGCAUGCAAACCAAAUACUCCAAGUAAAAGAUAAAUAUUGUUAGACUGCAAUUUUAAAAUUUUAUUUCUAUUAUUCACUUAAUUCUCACAAUUCUCUAUUUAUAUCUAUUUUAUGAGUGAAAAAAUGGAGACUUCAGGGAGUAAAGAAACUUGCCAAAAUGACACAGCUGAAAAACAGCAAAGUCAAGAUAAGAGCCCCAGUUGUCCAACCCAACAUCCUUCCUUGUGGUAUUUAGUACAACUCAGCAAAGAGAAGGUCCUGUCAAGCUUGGCAAGAGCUGUGUCCAUGCGAUUUCAGGGUCAGAGCCGGACUGCAGCUGGCGUGGUGAAUGAUAAAAUUAAAAGUAGACAUCACCAUCUAAAUUCAUCAGCAGAAUGCACCGGAACACCAGGAAGGGGAUACGGGAGGAAGUCUCAGGGGCUCUGUAGUUUUGAAGCAGCCCAUCUACACCAUCCAGUGCUACACUGAGAACGCCAGCAGGAACAUCCAGACCCUCCCUCCUGUAGAUACCCCAGUUCUCCAAAAUCUGUGUGAUGCCCUGUGGCCACUGGAUAAACCAAUUCCCAAGACUUAUGAUACUUGUGCACUUUUAGUAGCACUAUUAGGGGAGGAGCUAACAGACAACUCAUGACUCUGAGAUCAUCAGAAAACCACUCCUCCAAACAACAAGACAGGUAAAUUUUAGCAGCCUUUACCAAAGCCCUAAUGCAAUUUUUGAGCUGGAAUCAAAUCAUGUGGAAAACUCCAGGACCCUUGCAAGAUGUGAUGAAACCAACUUAUGUGUUGUUUAAUUUCCCAUUCAAUAUGCUGUUCUGUUUUUUGAGUCAUAUAACUUUGUGAAGCAAUUAUGGCUAACACACAGACUCAGGCAGGAGGCGGGAGGCAGUGAGCUGGGUAAAAAGGACUUCGCAUGGGUGGAGAAGUCGGGGGUAUGGGACUCAAGUUGGAGGAAUCUCUAGGGAGAGGUCUUAGAUCAGGAGCUAGUGACUGAAACUGUAUUAAUAGCUUUUGAAAACAACUAUUUGUGUGUGAAGUGAUAAAUAGAAGUGGCUAUUUUCUGGACCACAUUUCAUAUUAUCUCAUUAUGAAACAAUAUCACAGGUAUCACAUCACCCCAUUGCCUCUUUGACAGGUGACCACCUUGUACAAUGUCAACAUGCUAUAGAGUAAAAUAAUAAUUACACUGAGUGCUCACUGGUGCCUGGUGUGUUUGAUUGAAAAGCUUUGUAAUAUUAACUCAUUUAAACUUCUCAACAAUCCCCUGAUACGGUUACUAUUAUCCUCCUUUACGGGCUUCCUAGAUGGCGCUAGUGGUAAAGAACCUGCCUGCCAAUGCAGGAGGCAUAAGAGACACAGGUUCGUCUACUGGGUUGGAAAGAUCCCCUGGAGAAGCAAAUGGCAAGCUACUCCAGUAUUCUUGCCUGGAAAAUCCCAUGGACGGAGGAGUCUGGUGGGCUACAAGCCAUAG
ensembl:lncRNA